rnacentral:rRNA from 1 species
ACACAUGCAAGUCGAACGGAAUAAUUUAGUGGAAGUUUUCGGAUGGAAGCUAGAAUAUUUAGUGGCGGACGGGUGAGUAACGCGUGGAUAACCUACCUACUAAACUGGGACAACACCGGGAAACUGGUGCUAAUACCGGAUAAUCUGCAUGAUCGCAUGAUUGUGUAGUAAAAGGAGGCCUCUAGAAAUAAGCUUUCGAUAGUAGAUGGAUCCGCGUCUGAUUAGCUAGUUGGUGAGGUAAAGGCUCACCAAGGCGACGAUCAGUAGCCGGCCUGAGAGGGUGAACGGCCACAUUGGGACUGAGACACGGCCCAAACUCCUACGGGAGGCAGCAGUGGGGAAUCUUGCGCAAUGGGCGAAAGCCUGACGCAGCCAUGCCGCGUGAAUGAUG